CCAAGUAAUCAACUUAACCUGAGAAAAUAGGUGUUUGUUGAGCUCCAAGAUGGCAAUGACCCUCGUCACCAUGAAGCUCCUUAUCGAUUCCAGCCCGCCACGCCCGCGCGUGGUGUUCGCGGAGGCCCACAAAGACGCUGUCGACUUCCUCUUUUCCCUCCUCACCAUGCCAUCCGGCACGGCCGUGAAGCUACUGGGAAAGGAUUCCAUGGUUGGCUGCAUCGGCAACCUCUACACCAGCGUCGAGAAACUUGAUGAUCCCUAUGUACAGCCCGGCGCUGCUAAGGACGCCAUGCUAAGUCCUACCGUGUUGUCCCUUGGAGCGAAGUCCAACAGAACUUUCUUCCGCUUGCCGGAGCCAUCCCCGGCCAUGAAAAGAUUCUUCAGAUGCAGCGGCUAUACCUACUCCAGCUGCCGCAACUACGUUACGGAAGAGAGAGGUGCUCGGUGCCCGAUGUGUGGAAACCAGAUGUUGGCGGAUUCCCAGUAUGUGCCGUCUGAGCCUGUGACCCAAGAAGCGAAAGGGUUAGUGCAGGGUGGCAUGGUGACAUACACGGUGACAGAUGACCUAAAGAUAUUUCCCAUGUCAAACAUCUCCAGCAUUGCGCUGCUCAACACCGUCGCGGUGAGGGACCUAGGUGCGCUCCAAGAGAGGACUGUGCAGAUCGGGUACAAGGAGGGUGUGGAGAUUCUCAAGACCUCGCUACAGUCCAAAACUGUCCUAACUGAUGUUUUCCUUGGCAAGAAGACUUAACUUCGUUGAACAACGGCUGAUGAUUUGAAUCCCUCAGAUAGCGUGCUUGAGCUAGCCUUGAAUCGUAUGGACGUGUACGUAGCUUGGCCUAUGUUGCUAGCUAGCUUCAAUAAUCAGGGUUUGGAGAUUCUCAAGACCUCGCUACAGUCCAAAACCAUCCUAACUGAUGUUUUCCUUGGCAAGAAGACUUAACUUCGUUGAAGAACGUACGGCUGAUGAUUUGAAUCCCUUAGAUAGCAUGCUUGAAUCGUAUGGACGUGUACAUAGCUUGGUAUUUGUUUCUAGCUAGCUUUAAUAAUCAGGUUGUUACGUCCUUUCUUCGUGCUUGUACUACAUUUUUUUCGAGGGAUUCGUGCUUGUACUACUAACGUUACUAUAUAUGCAUGUUUCUAGUACUAUUAGCUGGCAAGUAGAUCUUGCUUGCUCGUCUUCUGAUCUGCA